UAUGAUAUACACAAAUAAAGUUGUUUAAAUGACAUUAUUAAAAGAGAAUUAUUGCAAGAUAAGAAAACCUGUCGUUGUUUCCGGUUUCCAUCAAGUAGUAUGAUUAAUUAUUAAUGUCCAUUAAUGAGAUAUCGAUUUAUUUUAUAUAAUUUAAUCACAAAAAAAUGAUUUCCGUAUCCUGUGUAUAUGGAAUGAUGAAAAAUAGCAUUUAGAUGCAAUCAAGUUGUAAACAAAUGGCUUCUUUAUAAAACGCAAGAUCAAUAGCAAAUAACUCCGUUGCAUUAUGCUAAUGCCUUUGAAACGUAGCGCAUAUCGGAGUAACGAGGCUUGGCGCGUCGUCCAGAGAGACCUAAAGGAAGCAAAGCCGACUAAGAAGGAUAACUGAACGAAUAAACUGAGAUAAGGGUAAGAAUGAAAAGAGAAAGAAAGAGGUCAGGUCACGAGAGUUCUAGUUGAAAGUCUGAGUGUUCUCAGUGCUCCCGGCGUCACGAGGCCAAGUCUCUAUCGAUUCUUGAGUGCAUUCAUUCUCUUCUCACUCUCCAUAAUACAUGAUAGGGAUACUAGAACUUUGCUGGUAAUCAUUGAGCGGUGAAAAUCAUUUUUCAAGACACGCUAACCUCUGUGAUCUCUUAUAGGCACGCCUCAAAGAAAUGGUUUGACUUACAAACUUUCUAAAAUUCUAAAAAAUCAGUACAAUUACUUUUAGUUUUUAUCCGUUACUCAGAUAAUUUACAAUUAAAAAAAUAUCGUAGUGUGAAGAUUCACUUUUUUCAACUAAAUACUUUCAAUUAUUAUGAUUAAAGUCGUGCAAUAUUUCGAUGAAUCAUUUAGUUUUAUUUUAUUAAAACUACUUCAUUUGUAUUAUCGAUUAUUUACGCAUCAUAAAAUCUCUUUUAUUGCUGUUUAACUUGGAUCCAUUGAUAUUUUUUUUUCACAGCAAGUGUACUCUAUCAUUGUUUUAAAGUGGAUGAUCUAUUAUAACGAAUUGAAAAACAAUAGCUACCUCUGGGAUUGACAUCUGGUUUGGAAUUGACUAUUUUUAUUCAUUACAGAUAGAAAACAAUAAUUUUCCAUUAUCGAAGAAAUAAAUUUAUUGAACUUGAUACGAAUAAAGUCAGGAUAAGAACAAUACAGAUACAGGAUGAUGAUGGGAAUGCCAAAUUUAGUUAUUGAAUCAUUCGAAAUUUGAACUUAUAACUUGGAAAAAGAAUUUUGAUUCUUGAAAAUUGAAAUUUCAUUUUAUCAAUGUAUGUUGCACAUGUAUUGUUUUAUUUAAAAAUAUUAUAAUCAAGACUGAA